ACGCGAGCUGGGUUCAGAACGUCGUGAGACAGUUCGGUCCCUAUCCGUCGCGGGCGUAGGAAAUUUGAGAGGAGCUGUCCUUAGUACGAGAGGACCGGGAUGGACUGACCUCUGGUGUACCAGUUGUUCCGCCAGGAGCAUAGCUGGGUAGCUAAGUCGGGAAGGGAUAAACGCUGAAGGCAUCUAAGCGUGAAGCCCACCUCAAGAUAAGAUUUCCCAUAGAGUAAUCUAGUAAGAUCCCUUGAAGAACACAAGGUUGAUAGGUGAGAGGUGUAAGUGUGGUAACAUAUUUAGCUGACUCAUACUAAUAGAUCGAGGGCUUGACCAA
rnacentral:rRNA from 1 species